GGGAUGAUGGCUGAGCGGUUGAAGGCGAUGAUUUGCUAAAUCAUUAUAUAGGAUCUAUAUCAUGGGUUCAAAUCCCAUUCUUCCCA
rnacentral:tRNA from 1 species